rnacentral:rRNA from 1 species
CGGAUGGGUGAGUAACGCGUAGGAACCUGUAGUCGAGUGGGGGAUAACGCUGGGAAACCGGCGCUAAUACCGCAUGCCCUCGGAGACGAGGAAAGCAGCAAUGCGCUUGAUGAGGGGCCUGCGUCCGAUUAGCUUGUUGGUGGGGUAAGGGCCUACCAAGGCGACGAUCGGUAGCUGGUCUGAGAGGAUGGUCAGCCACACUGGGACUGAGAUACGGCCCAG